GUAUUUUGAAUUAAGUAAUUCGUAAUAUUUUUCAGACAAAAGUUGUUAAAAAAAAUGGUUGAUGUAUAAAAAUUCUUUUGAGCAGCCAAAAAAACGAAUUCUUUCGGCAUGCCACAAAACAAUUUAAACAAUGCACACAAGGUGGAUAUGGAUUUUUAAAAAGUGCCAUAAAACACUUUAUUAUGAAUGAUCCUUCCGCAGGUUCACCUACGGAAA
rnacentral:misc_RNA from 1 species